rnacentral:rRNA from 1 species
GUGGGGAAUAUUGCACAAUGGGGGAAACCCUGAUGCAGCGACGCCGCGUGAGUGAGGAAGUAUUUCGGUAUGUAAAGCUCUAUCAGCAGGGAAGAAAAUGACGGUACCUGACUAAGAAGCCCCGGCUAACUACGUGCCAGCAGCCGCGGUAAUACGUAGGGGGCAAGCGUUAUCCGGAUUUACUGGGUGUAAAGGGAGCGUAGACGGACAUGCAAGUCUGAUGUGAAAAUCCGGGGCCCAACCCCGGAAUUGCAUUGGAAACUGUGUGCCUGGAGUGUCGGAGAGGCAAGUGGAAUUCCUGGUGUAGCGGUGAAAUGCGUAGAUAUCAGGAGGAACACCAGUGGCGAAGGCGGCUUGCUGGACGAUGACUGACGUUGAGGCUCGAAAGCGUGGGGAGCAAACAGGAUUAGAAACCCUAGUAGUCC